AUAUAGAUUAAGUUAUUAAGGGCGCACGGUGGAUGCCUUGGCACUAGAAGCCGACGAAGGACGUUACUAACGACGAUAUGCUUUGGGGAGCUGUAAGUAAGCUUUGAUCCAGAGAUUUCCGAAUGGGGAAACCCAGCACGAGUUAUGUCGUGUUAUCUGCAUGUGAAUACAUAGCAUG
rnacentral:rRNA from 1 species